AACGUAGGAGACAAACGUUAUCCGGAGUUACUGGGCGUAAAGGGCGUGUAGGCGGUCUGUUAAGUCUGGCGUGAAAGCUCUCGGCUAAACCGGGAGAGGUCGUUGGAUACUGGCAGACUAGAGGACGGUAGAGGCGUGUGGAAUUCCGGGUGUAGUGGUGAAAUGCGUAGAGAUCCGGAGGAACACCAGUGGCGAAGGCGACUACCUGGCCUGUUCUUGACGCUGAGGCGCGAAAGCUAGGGGAGCAAACGGG
rnacentral:rRNA from 1 species